rnacentral:rRNA from 1 species
UACGUAGGUGGCAAGCGUUGUCCGGAAUUAUUGGGCGUAAAGCGCGCGCAGGUGGUCCUUUAAGUCUGAUGUGAAAGCCCACGGCUCAACCGUGGAGGGUCAUUGGAAACUGGGGGACUUGAGUGCAGGAGAGAAGAGUGGAAUUCCCGGUGUAGAGGUGAAAUUCGUAGAUAUCGGGAGGAACACCAGAGGCGAAGGCGGCCACCUGGGUCAAGAUUGACGCUCAUGCACGAAAGCGUGGGGAGCAAACAGG